CUUUACAUAUCCAGGCAGCCAUGUAGGGUUUUGACCUCCUGUGGAUCUAGAAAUUUAUCUGGUCACAUUCAGAGAAUGGCAGACGUGGGAGUGAGGGUCCUGUGGCUGUUCUGCUGUUUGAAAAACCCACUGAACAUGAGGAUCUCUAGAGGCAAAGCAGCCUUGUGGUGUUCUUCGCCUCAGUGACAUGCUUGAAUCUGCAGACAUGAAUAUUCAGAAUAUUCACACAUUCAGAAGAGAAGUGACAGUGAUCGCCUGGCAAGACAACACAACAGCCAGGAGGGAAAAGGAAACCUCCACACGCAUGUAGCAGUUGGUGCAGAUGGAGAAAGCAGUCACUCACUCAUUCCUUUCUUUCCUACUCCCUCAUAUACUUUCCUUGGCUAUGUCUGUAUCAGCAAAUCAGAUCACCAUAGGGACCAUUCUUUGGACGUAUGGCCAAGGGGCUCCAAACAGCCUGCCCACUCCUCCAAACUCUGCUCUGGACCUGUGUUUUUCUCCAGCUGUCCUCUGCCAAUGUUCUCAUGGGUGCCUACCAUUAAACCAUUCAUUGUGGG
ensembl:lncRNA